rnacentral:rRNA from 1 species
AUUGAACGCUGGCGGCAGGCCUAACACAUGCAAGUCGAGCGGAUGCAGGGAACUUGCUCCUGGAUUCAGCGGCGGACGGGUGAGUAAUGCCUAGGAAUAUGCCUGGCAGCGUUGGAUAACGUCCGGAAACGGGCGCUAAUACCGCAUACGUCCUGAGGGCGAAAGUGGGGGAUCUUCGGACCUCACGCCGUCAGAUGAGCCUAGGUCGGAUUAGCUAGUUGGUGGGGUAACGGCCUACCAAGGCGACAAUCCGUAACUGGUCUGAGAGGCUGAUCAGGCACACCGGAACUGAGACACCGUCCCGGCUCCCACGGGGAGGCGCAGUGGGGAAUAUUUGACAAAGGGGCGAAGGCUUGUCCAGCCCAGACGGGUUGGUUAAGAAGGUCUUCCGAGUGUAAAGCACUUUAUGUUGGGAGGAAAGGCAGUAAGGUAAUACCUUCGUUUUUUUGCCUUUCCAACAGAAUUAGCCCCCGCCUACUUCCUU